rnacentral:rRNA from 1 species
GGACCAAUGAUUGGGGUGAAGUCGUAACAAGGUAGCCGUAUCGGAAGGUGCGGCUGGAUCACCUCCUUUCUAAGGA